rnacentral:lncRNA from 1 species
AGUGUUUGACAUUUGUGUUUCCACAGCAUGUUGAGCAGUCACUAGGCUCAGCCCAGAAGGGUACGGGAUGCAGAACCUGCAGCGCCACCUCUUGUGGCCUGCUGCUUUCAGAGUGGCAAGUUGCUGGAACAUCCCGAUCCCAUCUCAGAUAUAUCGUAUAUGCUCCUCAGGAGGCUCCACGGGAGGCCUGCAACACCCAUGCAUGAGCACCAGAAACCUCUGAUGUUGAGCACUUUAGCCUCAAUCCUGUCCACACCGUCCCUGAGAUACAUGUGAACAGUAUGAUUGGCAAUUCAUACUGUGCAUGGGAUGCUUGAACACCGAAAAGGGAGAACACACCUGCAGAAGUGUAAAGACGGUGACCAGCAUAUGACUUCCGCUGAUGGCGAACUACUUGUCUUUGGCAUCAGACCGCUCACGAUCAGGCUUCAGCUUGCCAAUCCAUCUCGAAAGAGCAUCCCCCACAACAUUGGCCUCCAUUCCCUGCAGCAGGUCAGUUAUGUGCUUUGAGGCUAGCACAGUCAUGGCCCAUCCGUCACUGAGCUGAAUGCCAAUAAUGUAGCUGAUGACGCUUACCCGUUCCUUCCUGUAACAGUCCCAGAAGGCUUCGUGUUGCUCCUUGCAGUUCCAGCCGAAGAGCGAGCUCUCCUUGAAGCAUAGCAGCAGUGCUUCUGCAAUACAUCAAAGCACGUGGGAUUUUUUAUACUGUCAUGGUGAUUCGCUUGCAUGCAGCAUAAUAAUGGCAUAUAGUAUCAUACGAUGGGUUCCAAUAUUGCACAGGGUGUCAUGUCACUGCAUUGACACUGGAAGGCAGUACAUGGAAGGCACUUGGUUCAGCGUGACAUCAUGACAACUCACUGUGCUUCUCUGAGCAAUUUAUGAGAGACUCUUCUUUGGAAGCUAGCUCGGCACGGCCAGCAUCCUCUUCACUGGAAGGUUGCAUUAGGAAGAAGCAGCAGGUCCCCUGGACAGCCACCCUUCUGGCAAUGCACCUUGAUCACUACGUUAUUCAUGGCUCAACGAGCCAUCGAAACAGUUGAUCUAGGAUAAUG